CUUCGGGGAACGAUAACGGCGUCGAGCGGCGGACGGGUGAGUAAUGCCUGGGAAAUUGCCCUGAUGUGGGGGAUAACCAUUGGAAACGAUGGCUAAUACCGCAUAAUAGCUUCGGCUCAAAGAGGGGGACCUUCGGGCCUCUCGCGUCAGGAUAUGCCCAGGUGGGAUUAGCUAGUUGGUGAGGUAAGGGCUCACCAAGGCGACGAUCCCUAGCUGGUCUGAGAGGAUGAUCAGCCACACUGGAACUGAGACACGGUCCAGACUCCUACGGGAGGCAGCAGUGGGGAAUAUUGCACAAUGGGCGCAAGCCUGAUGCAGCCAUGCCGCGUGUGUGAAGAAGGCCUUCGGGUUGUAAAGCACUUUCAGUCGUGAGGAAGGUAGUGUGUUUAAUAGAUGCAUUAUUUGACGUUAGCGACAGAAGAAGCACCGGCUAACUCCGUGCCAGCAGCCGCGGUAAUACGGAGGGUGCGAGCGUUAAUCGGAAUUACUGGGCGUAAAGCGCAUGCAGGUGGUGUGUUAAGUCAGAUGUGAAAGCCCGGGGCUCAACCUCGGAAUUGCAUUUGAAACUGGCAGACUAGAGUACUGUAGAGGGGGGUAGAAUUUCAGGUGUAGCGGUGAAAUGCGUAGAGAUCUGAAGGAAUACCGGUGG
rnacentral:rRNA from 1 species